GGUCAGGAUGAACGCUAGCUACAGGCUUAACACAUGCAAGUCGAGGGGCAGCAUUGGAGUAGCAAUACUCAGAUGGCGACCGGCGCACGGGUGAGUAACACGUAUCCAACCUGCCGCUUACUCGGGGAUAGCCUUUCGAAAGAAAGAUUAAUACCCGAUGGUAUAAAGAGUUCGCAUGUUCUCUUUAUUAAAGAAUUUCGGUAAGCGAUGGGGAUGCGUUCCAUUAGAUUGUUGGCGGGGUAACGGCCCACCAAGUCUACGAUGGAUAGGGGUUCUGAGAGGAAGGUCCCCCACAUUGGAACUGAGACACGGUCCAAACUCCUACGGGAGGCAGCAGUGAGGAAUAUUGGUCAAUGGACGAGAGUCUGAACCAGCCAAGUAGCGUGAAGGAUGACUGCCCUAUGGGUUGUAAACUUCUUUUAUAAGGGAAUAAAGUGAGGGACGUGUCCCUUUUUGUAUGUACCUUAUGAAUAAGGAUCGGCUAACUCCGUGCCAGCAGCAGC
rnacentral:rRNA from 1 species